GAGUUUGAUCCUGGCUCAGGACGAACGCUGGCGGCGUGCCUAAUACAUGCAAGUCGAGCGGAUCUUCAUUAGCUUGCUUUUGAAGAUCAGCGGCGGACGGGUGAGUAACACGUGGGCAACCUGGCCUGUAAGACUGGGAUAACUUCGGGAAACCGGAGCUAAUACCGGAUGAUCCGUUUUCCUCUCAUGAGGAAAAGCUGAAAGACGGUUUCGGCUGUCACCUACAGAUGGGCCCGCGGCGCAUUAGCUAGUUGGUGAGGUAACGGCUCACCAAGGCGACGAUGCGUAGCCGACCUGAGAGGGUGAUCGGCCACACUGGGACUGAGACACGGCCCAGACGUCCUACGGGAGGCAGGCCAGUAGGGAAUCUUCCGCAAUGGACGAAAGUCUGACGGAGCAACGCCGCGUGAGCGAUGAAGGCCUGGUCGUAA
rnacentral:rRNA from 1 species